GGAAAACCAAACAUUGUAUGUUCUCACUGAUAUAUAGGAGAUCUCCUUGAGUGUGUGAUGACAGUGACCCGGAAUUAAUUCUAGACUCAUCUCAUACCACGUUUUUGUAGAAAGAAGACUCCAGUGAUCAGAUUUAUAAAGAAUGACUUCAAAUUUCAGCUCCAUGGGUGCUAUUGGCCCUGAAGACCUUCCAAUGGGACAAAAUGUGGAGGUGGAAGACAGUGAUAUUGAUGAUUCUGACCCUACGUAGGCCUUAGUUAAUGUGUGUGUUUGUGUCUUUGUUUUUAACAAAAACAUUUCAAAAGUGAAAAGACAAUUUUAAAGUUUUUAAAUAAGAAAGCUUAUAGAAUAAGGAUAUAAAAAUAUUUUUGUGCAGCUAUACAAUGUGUGUGUUUCAAGGUAAGUGUCAUUAUGAAAGAGUCAAAAAGUUUAAAGAAUAAAAAAUUUAUGAAGUAAAAAAGUUACA